rnacentral:rRNA from 1 species
UGAAACUCAAAGGAAUUGACGGGGGCUCACACAAGCGGUGGAGCAUGUUGUUUAAUUCGAUGCAACGCGAAGAACCUUACCUGGGCUUGACAUGUAUGUGGCACCAAUCCGAAAGGGGCGAGACCUACUUUGUAGGAGCAUACACAGGUAUUGCACGGCUGUCGUCAGCUCGUGUCGUGAGAUGUUGGGUUAAGUCCCAUAACGAGCGCAACCCCUAUUGUUAGUUGCUAACAGGUAAUGCUGAGGACUCUAGCGAGACUGCCGGUGUUAAACCGGAGGAAGGCGGGGACGACGUCAAGUCAUCAUGGUCCUUACGCCCAGGGCUACAAACGUGCUACAAUGGCAGGUACAAAGGGAAGCAAGACCGCGAGGUGGAGCAAAUCCCAAAAAGCCUGCCCCAGUUCGGAUUGGAGGCUGAAACUCGCCUCCAUGAAGUUGGAAUCGCUAGUAAUCGCAGAUCAGCCAUGCUGCGGUGAAUGUGUUCCUGAGCCUUGUACACACCGCCCGUCAAGCCACCCAAAUUGGUCGCACCCGUAGUCACAGACCCAACCGUAAGGAGGGAUGUGCCGAAGGUGAGAUUGGUGAGGGGGACUAAGUCGUAACAAGGU